GAUGAACGCUGGCGGCGUGCCUAAUACAUGCAAGUCGAGCGAAGCGGGGACGGGUGAGUAACAAGUGGAUAACCCCCCAUAAGACUGGGAUAACUUCGGGAAACCGGAGCUAAACCGGAUACUUAUCGAUGGAUCCGCGUUGCAUUAGCUAGUUGGUAAGGUAACGGCUUACCAGGGCCACGGUGCGUAGCCGAUCUGAGAGGGUGCUCGGCCACACUGGAACUGAGACACGGUCCAGACUCCUACGGGAGGCAGCAGUAGGGAAUCUUCCGCCAUGGGCGAAAGCCUGACGGAGCCACGCCGCGUGGAUGAUGAAGGUCUUCGGAUCGUAAAACUCUGUUAUUAGGGAAGCGGUACCUGAUCAGAAAGCACCGGCUAACUACGUGCCAGCAGCCGCGGUAAUAC
rnacentral:rRNA from 1 species